GUGUAUCCAAUAGCAAAGUAGAGAGAAAAUAAGAUGUUACCUAUAUUUUCCAAGUGAACAAACAUAAUUCUCAAGUUUUCUGCUAAUAUUGAAUUUUCUUCUUCUUUUAUCCCUUAGAGCAUAUUCCAAAAGGAUCGGAUGAAAACACAAAAUAGAAGAGUUGGAACUUUACUUGGCAUCUUAAGUCGAGGAAUGACAAUACCUAUGAAGAGUAUAUACAGUAGUGUCAGUUUGAACGAGGUCAUGAAUGCAUAGUGGAAGAGAACAAAGACAACAAUAACAACAACUACACAGCAUACUCCCACCAGGUGGGGUCUGGGGAGGGUAAUAUGUAGACAAGCCUUACCCCUACCCGAAAGGGCAGAGAGGCUGUUUCCAAUCGACCCCCCGACUCAUAGGAUAAAAGGAAAAACAGCAGUAAAAAAAAAACAAAGACAAAAACAAAAACAAUAAAACAUUAGUAACUCCAGCAGAAAUAACGUAAAUAGCGUAAAUAAUUAUCUAAACAUACGAAACGUAAAUACAAUCGCAUGCAAUAAUAUCAUACAGUAACUACCAUAACUAACAGCCAUAGGGGACAUAAGCUAAAACACAAAUCAUCUAUGGGUAACCCUGCUGACCCACACCCAAUCCCGGAUGAGGCGUACGAAAAACUCUAGGAGCCCCUAUCCUACAACCCUGAUCAUUAUAUAAAAUGAUGUAAAAAUGCUAUAAAUUGAAUACAUUGUUUGAAUGUGUUCAACAUUCGUGAAACACAAUUUGCAAAAAAGAAGAAGCUUUCAGAUUCCCAGCUCAAUUUAUUUUGAGAGUACUCUUUUAGUAGGUAAAAGAAAUAUGCUUAAAUCAAUGCAUUAAAACUUUGAGUGCUUAAUGUUCUUGUUGUAUAACUAGAAGUGUGGCUAACUCGUCCAAGCUAAUAAUGUAAUCCCCCUUUUCCAUAGCUUGUUUGAAUAGCAUAGCGAUGCUGAGAAGCAGAAUAAACAGAGGCGGCACGUAGAUUUUGAUGAAAAAUCGGACCAACUCCAUUCUUAUUCUUUAAAAAUCCUACAAUUUAGGAUCCCUGUCUGCCGUAGAAUGAUCCAUUUCAAGUAUAGAAAUUGGAUAACAUUAUCCUGUCAAAGAAGUAUUGCGCAAUUUUGAUUACCUUUAUUGCAUGCCUAUGGUUAGUGGAACAUAGUGGUUACUGGAAUAUUUGUGUACGGUAAAAAAAGUGAAAAGCAAGCUGCAGUGCAAAUUUCAUUUUCCAGCAAAACAACUAUUGAUAAAUAGGAAACAAUGUUACAAGUUCACAUGUGAUGGAGCCAAUUAGAAUUUUUAGAGAACUACCACAUGUACAUAUGUUGCUAAAUUUCCAUAUUUUUGUAGGUAGGUCAGUGUUGUGAAGAGCAUCAAGUGAGUAAAAGCGAGAAGCUCCUUUUUGCUUAUAGCGAGAAAAAAUGGCAGUAAGUAAGAAAAUGGCAAUAAGUACU
rnacentral:lncRNA from 1 species